CGGUUUUCCACCGUACCGAAACCUAGCAGAGGGCCAGUCUGGUGCCAGCAGCUGCGGUAAUUCCAGCUCUGCGAGUUUGCUCCCAUAUUGUUGCAGUUAAAACGCCCGUAGUCUGAAUUGGCCAGCAAUGGUCGUACGUAUUUUUACGUUCACUGUGAACAAAUCAGGACGCUUAGAGUAUGGCCACAUGAAUGACUCAGCGCAGUAUGAAGUCUUUGUUUUCUUCCGAAAACAAGCUCAAUGAGAGCCAUCGGGGGUAGAUCUAUCUCAUGACGAGUGGUGGAAUACUUUGACUCAUGAGAGAGAAGCUGAGGCGAAGGCGUCUACCUAGAGGGUUUCUGUCGAUCAAGGGCGAGAGUAGGAGUAUCCAACAGGAUUAGAGACCCUGGUAGUUCCUACCUUAAACGAUGCCGACAGGAGUUUGUCAUUUGUUAAUGGCAGAAUCUUUGGAGAAAUCAUAGUUCUUGGGCUCUGGGGGAACUACGACCGCAAGGCUGAAACUUGAAGGAAUUGACGGAAGGGCACACCAGGGGUGGAGCCUGUGGCUUAAUUUGAAUCAACACGGGGAAACUUACCAGGACCAGAUGUUUUUUAUGACUGACAGGCUUCGGGUCUUUCAGGAUAUUGUUUUUGGUGGUGCAUGGCCGUUGGUGGUGCGUGGGUUGACCUGUCUAGCGUUGAUUCAGCUAACGAGCGAGAUUAUCGCCAAUUAUUUACUUUGCCGAAGUCCUUCGGUUAAAGUUCUAAUUGGGACUCCCUGCGAUUUUAGCAGGUGGAAGAGGGUAGCAAUAACAGGUCCGUGAUGCCCUUUAGAUGCUCUGGGCUGCACGCGUGCUACAAUGUUAGGAUCAAUAGGACUGCGAACCUGAGAGGGUGCGCUACUCUUAUAAUCCCUAACGUAGUUGGGAUUGACGUUUGUAAUCAGCGUCAUGAACCAGGAAUCCCUUGUAAAUGUGUGUCAACAACGCACGUUGAAUACGUCCCUGCCCUUUGUACACACCGCCCGUCGCUCCUACCGAUUGGAUGACUCGGUGAAAUCACCGGAUGCUUACGAGCAGAAAGUGAUUAAAUCACGUUAUCUAGAGGAAGGAGAAGUCGUAACAAGGUAACGGUAGGUGAACCUGCCGUUGGAUCAGUU
rnacentral:ncRNA from 1 species